AAAAAAAAAAGUUUUUUAAAAACUUAAUGAAUAGUUUUCAUUAAUUUAUGAAACUUGUGCAAAUAUACUUUUUUUUUAAGAACAUUUUUUUAAUUUGUCCACACUUAGAAUAAGCUUACUUUUUUUAAUUGCUUGCUGCCACGAAGCAAUUCGCCGACAUAUUUCCGUAUGCAAGUGACCUUAGCGUUACCCGUCUCGUAAAACUCCGGUGAUCGCAAUAAGCAUGGAACUGUCAUUGAAAUAAACUAUUAUCUGAUUGUACAUGUUAUACACGUGCUCUCAAUAUCCAUGCUUCUUUGUUGUUUACUUUGGGUAACAAUAGGUUAAAUGUCGGCUUCAAAACACGACAAUUAAGUAGCUGUUAUAUUUUCACAUCAUAACAGACGAAGAGGGAACAAAUGACGAUUAUACGAUAUAUUUACGUAAAAAAUGAUAAAAUCAUGCACAGAAGACUAAGUUUAUGAUAUAUUCAUGUAUUGGUC
rnacentral:lncRNA from 1 species